UACGAAGGGGGCUAGCGUUGUUCGGAAUUACUGGGCGUAAAGGGCGCGUAGGCGGUCCUGAUCGUCGGAUGUGAAAGGCCUGGGCUCAACCUGGGAAUGGCAUCCGAUACGGCGGGACUGGAGUGUGGGAGAGGUUGGUGGAAUUCCCAGUGUAGAGGUGAAAUUCGUAGAUAUUGGGAAGAACACCGGUGGCGAAGGCGGCCAACUGGGCCACAACUGACGCUGAGGCGCGAAAGCGUGGGGAGCAAACAGG
rnacentral:rRNA from 1 species